rnacentral:rRNA from 1 species
GCACGAGCGCACCCUCGUUUUUAGUUGCCAUCAUUAAGUUGGGCACUCUAGAGAGACUGCCGGUGACAAACCGGAGGAAGGUGGGGAUGACGUCAAGUCAUCAUGCCCCUUACGCCUUGGGCUACACACGUACUACAAUGGUCGGGACAAAGAGUCGCAAGCAUGCGAAUGCAAGCUAAUCUCAUAAACCCGGUCUUAGUUCAGAUUGCAGGCUGCAACUCGCCUGCAUGAAGGCGGAAUCGCUAGUAAUCGCAGGUCAGCAUACUGCGGUGAAUACGUUCCCGGGCCUUGUACACACCGCCCGUCACACCAUGGAAGCUGGUCACGCCCGAAGUCGUUAUCUCAACCCGCAAGGGAGGGAGGCGCCUAAGGCAGGGCUGGUGACUGGGGUGAAGUCGUAACAAGGUAGCCGUACCGGAAGGUGCGGCUGGAUCACCUCCUUA